CUUCUCCUUCAGUUUACUAUAAAAAGGAGACUGAUUAUUCUCAAAAACUUAUUCUUGUUAAUUUCAAACAAGUGUAACAACCUUUAACAUCAUGAAAGCUUUGGUAUCCCUUUUGCUUUUUGCUUUUAUCGUUGCUACUCUUGGAGCUACUAUAGGCGUACAUCCAUUUACUGGAUACGGCCACGGUAUCUAUGCAGGAUAUGGAUAUCCUUACGGAAACGACCAAUCUCCCUAUAAUUCCAAAAUUUACGGUGGACAUUAUGGAUACACUCCCGGAAUUUAUGGCGAUUAUUUAAAAAACUCUAAAAUCUACGGCGGUUAUUAUGGCUAUCCCAAAGUUUAUGAUUAUUAAUAACAGACUGAUAACUUUUAAUGAAAUAAUAUUUCUUCGAUCCAAUCAAAAGUCGAUGUAGGCCUACAAAUUAUUUUCUUCUUUUUUUGUA